GUCUACAGCCACGCCACCUCGAAUGUGCUUGAUCCCGUCCGAUCUCGGAAGCUAAGCAGAGUCGGGCCUGGUUAGUACUUGGAUGGGAGACCACCUAGGAAGACCAGGUGCUGCAGGCG
rnacentral:rRNA from 1 species